GUGAGGAAUAUUGGUCAAUGGACGAGAGUCUGAACCAGCCAAGUCGCGUGAAGGAAGACGGUUCUAUGAAUUGUAAACUUCUUUUGUGCAGGAAUAAAGUGGGUUACGUGUAACCUUUUGUAUGUACUGUACGAAUAAGGAUCGGCUAACUCCGUGCCAGCAGCCGCGGUAAUACGGAGGAUCCGAGCGUUAUCCGGAUUUAUUGGGUUUAAAGGGUGCGUAGGUGGAUUGAUAAGUCAGCGGUGAAAGUUUGUAGCUUAACUGUAAAAUUGCCGUUGAAACUGUCGGUCUUGAGUGCAAAUGAGGUAGGCGGAAUGUGUUGUGUAGCGGUGAAAUGCUUAGAUAUAACACAGAACUCCGAUUGCGAAGGCAGCUUACUGGGAUGCAACUGACACUGAUGCACGAAAGCGUGGGUAUCAAACAGGAUUAGAUACCCUGGUAGUCC
rnacentral:rRNA from 1 species